CGCGGUUCCACGGCUCCGGGCCCGGCGGCACCGUAGCCAUCUUGGGACGCGGGGAGGUACUGGGAAAGGCGGAGCUGGGCGAGGCCUAACGGAGCCACCGAGGGAGGGGAGGACCUAUCUCUCCAAAUAGACUCUCUCCAGUAAGAUAACCUGGACUUCUUUAUAUGGCAGCUGGAUCCACCAUGAGCAAAAGCAAAUGCCACAAGGCUUUGUUUUUUCUGGGCCAGAAGUCCCUGAAUGCCACUUUUAUCACAUUCUAUUGGCCAAAACAAGUCGGAAGGGCAGCCAGAUUCAAGGAAUGGGAAAACACACUCCAGCUCUUACUGGAAGAAGCAAUAAAGACACAUUGCAAAGAGGCAUGGACACAGGGAGAAGUGAUUCAUCCUAUGGGGGCCAUUUUUAACAAUGUACUACAGUCUAAUAAACAUUUCUUUUGAAAA